GACUCUCAGAAAUGGAUAUCUCAGCUCUAGCAUUGAUGAAUAACAAAGCAAAAUGCAAUACUUGCUAUGAAUUACAAAAUCUCGUGAACCAUCAAGUCUUUAAACGCAAGUUGCACCUCAAGCUAUUAGGCCGAGGGCAUGUCUACCUAAGUGUCA
rfam:Gossypium arboreum cultivar AKA8401 contig_61509_1, whole genome shotgun sequence.